UAUUCAAAAGUAAAUUCUGCAAUAUCUUCAGAGUCGCAUCCGGGUUGCCGAAUUGCCUACUUAUCUUCCUUAGAAGAAUCAGACCCUAAAGUAGUUCCAGCGCCUUCUGAUCGACCUAAACUGAAAGAAAGCGAAAGGGACCCACUUCCCACUUCCCUUUCCCCGCUCCUUCUGUUUAGGAUUCCUGACCUUACUAAACGCUCCCUUUCACAAAUCAUUCCUUUUAUGGUUGAGGAUUUCUUUUGUAAACCUAGAAAGAUUGUUCCAGGAGAGGGUGAAUCCCCAACUCGUUGGAAGGCUUAGUGGAUCCCUUGUGACUAUGUAGGGGAAGUCUUACAAGACAGCCUAGAGCGAUCAGGAUGUAUAGGGGACUCGUUAGGGAAAGAGCAUCUUCGAAGCUGCAUCGAAUUCCAUGGAUUAUGGAUCACCUUCUAAAACUGAAAGCUCUCAAGCGACGGGAAAGAGUGCCCUCCGGCUAAGGAGGAAUGAACGAAAAAGAUGCCCUGCUACUAAGAAUAUGGAAUAGGAUUGUACACGUGUACCACACUCCAAUGAUAGAAGAAUAGUCAGCUAUGCUAUGAGUGACUUCUUUCCCUAAUGAAUGAGAGUCUUUAUUUCUCUAUUUUGUCUACUUUGAUUUAUCUGUCUUUAUUUUCAGACUAAAAAGUGGAAGCUUUCUUACAUGGUACAAAAUUCAAAUACAAACUUAAUUAUACAAAAAGAGCUGUGAGUUUUAAUACAAAUAUUGUCUUCUAGAUAGUAUUCAAACUCAAAAUACGACAAAACAUAAUCUGAGAGUUUUAACACGAAUAUUGUCAUCUAGACAAUAUCCACACUCAAAUUCAAUCUUAUUACAUUUAUUAUCAC
rnacentral:lncRNA from 1 species